rnacentral:rRNA from 1 species
AUUGAACGCUGGCGGCAGGCCUAACACAUGCAAGUCGAGCGAGCGGCGGACGGGUGAGUAAUGUCUGGGAAACUGCCUGAUGGAGGGGGAUAACUACUGGAAACGGUAGCUAAUACCGCAUACCAUCAGAUGUGCCCAGAUGGGAUGAGCUAGUAGGUGGGGUAACGGCUGACCUAGGGGACGAGCCAGAGCUGGUCUGAGAGGAUGACCCGCGAACCUGGAGCGGGGACACGGUCCAGACUCCUCCAGUAGGCAGCAUUGGGGAAUAUUGCACAAUGGGCGCAAGCCUGAUGCAGCCAUCCCGCGUGUGUUAAAAAGGCCUUCGUGUUGUAAAGCACUUUCAGCGGUGAGGCGUUACCCGCAGAAGAAGCACAUGCUAACUCCGUGCCAGCAGCCGCGGUAAUAC